rnacentral:tRNA from 1 species
AGAGUUGUAGCACAGUAGUAGAGCACUCACCUAGCACAUGUGAGGCACUGGGUUCAAUUCUCAGCACCACUA